rnacentral:rRNA from 1 species
UACGGAGGUUGCAAGCGUUGUUCGGAAUAACUGGGCGUAAAGGGAGCGCAGGCGGCUUGGCAAGUCUAAAGUGAAAUCCCAGGGCUCAACUCUGGACGUGCUUUGGAUACUGCCUGGCUUGAGUACGUGAGAGGAGAUUGGAAUUCCAGGUGUAGCGGUGAAAUGCGUAGAUAUCUGGAGGAACACCGGUGGCGAAAGCGGAUCUCUGGCACGUUACUGACGCUGAGGCUCGAAAGCGUGGGGAGCAAACGGG